UGCCAGCACAAACAAAGCAGCUUUAAAAGCUCUAGGAAUUUGUGCAGACACAAAUAAUAUACAAUGCUCAUUUACAAACCCUGCUGCAGAUAGACAAGUACUGGCUAUUAUUGAUGUACCACAUAUUUUAAAAUGUAUGCGAAACAAUCUUUUGAAAAGUAGAUACUUCCAGAUAAAACUAAGAAAAUAAAGUGUUUUCACCUAAUUUAUAAGCCAUUGCAUUAUUCUGCUUUUUUACUUUUAGUUUCCUGAAGAAAGGGUAAAAUUGCAGCAUUUUAAAACAGUUGUUGAUGAAGAUUCCAAAUUACCAAAGGGAUUAAAGGCAUGUCUCAAAGUGACUGAAAUACAUGUUGGUGAGCCUGAGGGUUUUGACAGCGUAAAUUUUUGAGUGUAAGGGGUUGAAGUGCAGAUUGCCACAGGAUGGAAUCAGACCUGAUUCAAAUGAUCUCAAGUUAUCGAAGAAUCUCUAGAAUAGUUAAAUAGAUGGGAAACAUUCAGAUUACAUAUUGGAAAUAGUGAUAAAAAGAAAUUUUUGAGCCAGAAAAUCUAUGCUUGAUGCUGACUAGUAUCUUAGCACUCAUCAAACAAUUGCUUCCAAACUCAUAUUACAUCUUGACAGCUCACUUUAAUCAGGACCCAUUAGAGUGUUUCUUUGGAAUGAUAAGAGAAGGAAGUGGAAGAAAUUCUCAUCCCAUAACAGUACAGUUCUUAUACCUGUACAGACUGAUGACUGUGUACAGUUUGGUUCAUUAUCCCAAACGAGCAUCGGUUCAAACUGAUCCUGGAUCUUCCCUUAUUACUUUGAAAAGUCUUUGGAGUCAUAAAAACCAUUUAAGGAAGUUCAAGGACAAUUGGAAGAACAUUUACAAAAUUUGCUGUGUAAUCCAAGCCUGUCCUAUGGAGAUCAUAGUGUAGUGAAUUAUUAGAUCAUGAUUGUUGUGCACCAGAAACAUUUAAGUUUAUUCUACACUAUUUAAGAGUAAGGAUACACCGAUUAAUCGGUAAGUAAUCGGUAAUUGGCCUUAUCGGCCACUUGGCCGAUUAAUCGGUUUCGAUA